GGGAAAUCCAGAUUGUGUACAGAGAAGUCAAGAACCUAAAUAAUUAUUCAGCUAGUAACCAAACAGUAAGAGACACUUACUUUGAAAUUGUAAAAAUUCUUUCUCACACUGAAGCCAAGAGAAUGUAGCCGUGACACGCCUGACAUCAGUAGGCAAGAAGACUGAAAAGGAGACACAGACACAGACCCACAAGAGGAGGAUGCCUUGUGACAAUGAAGGCAGAAAGUGAAGUGCUGCAGCUCUAAGUCAAGGAAUGCCCAGGAUUGCAGAGAGACCACCAGAAGCUGGGAAGACACAAAGAAGGAUUUCGCCUACAGCCUUCAGAGGCCCAAUCUAAUCACAUGGGUCCUUAAAAGUGGAGAACUUUUUCCCAAUUGUGAAGACAGAAGCAGCAUCAGAGAGAUGGCAGAGUGAAAAGGAUC
rnacentral:lncRNA from 1 species